GUGUGAGUUUAUGUGUGUUUAUGUUUGUUUAUCUGUGUUCGUUUAUGUGUGUUUAUGUUCGUUUAUCUUUAUGUGUUUAUGUUUGUUUAUCUGUAUGUGUUUAUGUUUGUUUAUCUGUGUGAGUUUAUGUUUGUUUAUCUGUAUGUGUUUAUGUGUGUUUAUAUUUGUUUAUCUGUAUGUGUUUAUGUUUGUUUAUAUGUGUUUAUUUUUGUUUAUCUUUAUGUGUUUAUGUUUGUUUAUCUGUGUGUGUUUCUGUGUAUUUAUCUGUGUGCGUUUGUGUUUGUUUAUCUGUGUGUGUUUAUGUGUGUUUAUCUGUGUGAGUUUAUGUUUGUUUAUGUUUGUUUAUCUGUAUGUGUUUAUGUUUGUUUAUCUGUGUGAGUUUAUGUGUGUUUAUGUUUGUUUAUCUGUGUUCGUUUAUGUGUGUUUAUAUUUGUUUAUCUUUAUGUUUUUAUGUUUGUUUAUCUGUAUGUGUUUAUGUUUGUUUAUCUGUGUGAGUUUAUAUUUGUUUAUCUGUAUGUGUUUAUGUGUGUUUAUAUUUGUUUAUCUGUAUGUGUUUAUGUUUGUUUAUAUGUGUUUAUUUUUGUUUAUCUUUAUGUGUUUAUGUUUGUUUAUCUGUGUGUGUUUGUGUGUAUUUAUCUGUGUGCGUUUAUGUUUGUUUAUCUGUGUGUGUUUAUGUGUGUUUAUGUGUGUUUAUCUGUGUGAGUUUAUGUGUGUUUAUCUGUGUUUAUCUGUGUGUGUUUAUGUUUGUUUAUCUGUGUGUGUUUAUGUGUGUUUGUCUUUGUUUAUCUGUGUUUGUUUAUGUUUGUUUAUCUGUGUGUGUUUAUGUUUGUUUAUCUGUUUGUGUUUGUGUUUAUGUUUGUUUAUCUGUGUGUGUUUAUGUUUGUUUAUCUGUUUGUGUUUGUGUUUAUGUUUGUUUAUCUGUGUGUGUUUGUGUGUAUUUAUCUGUGUGCGUUUAUGUUUGUUUAUCUGUGUGUGUUUAUGUGUGUUUGUGUUUGUUUAUCUGUGUUUGUUUAUGUUUGUUUAUCUGUGUGUGUUUAUGUUUGUUUAUCUGUUUGUGUUUGUGUUUAUGUUUGUUUAUCUGUGUGUGUUUGUGUUUGUUUAUUACUGUGCACCAGUGACUUGCAAUGACUGGCCCCUAUUCCUCGUACGUGGUUCAACUAAGUUGAUCAAAUGUCCUAUUAGCCAGUUUAAAUUAGCGCGAUGAUUGAAGACAGGCUAUCUCGGUUCCUCCAAGGCUG
rnacentral:lncRNA from 1 species